GGCCUCGUAGCUCAAUUGGCUAGAGCCUAAGCUGUACUAAAGCCUUCCCCUUGCUGGCUUGGGUUCGAAUCCCACCGAAGCCA
rnacentral:tRNA from 1 species